AAAAGUAUAAUAGCACUUGUUUGUUGAUCCCUUCUUAAAAACAUUUAUCACUUUUUUAAUUGCAAAAAAUGUUGUUGAAAAAAAGAUGAAAUGAAAUUGUAUUGGUUGUUAUUAGGAAGGAUCCAUUAGUAUAUAAAAUUAAUGAUGUGUAAUUUUGAUCUAGUGCAAUCUCGAAAUGUAUACACCCGUAAUCAUCAUAUACAAAAUAGCUUGAUCAACUAAAAUUUUAACUGUCC
rnacentral:lncRNA from 1 species